UCGGGAGCUGACGAGCGGCGGACGGGUGAGUAACGCGUAGGAAUCUGCCCAAUAGUGGGGGAUAGCCCGGGGAAACUCGGAUUAAUACCGCAUAAUCUCUGAGGAGGAAAGUGGGGGACCUUCGGGCCUUACGCUGAUGGAGCGGCCGAUGUUAGAUUAGGUAGUUGGUAGGGUAAAGGCCUACCAAGCCGACGAUCAGUAGCUGGUCUGAGAGGACGAUCAGCCACACUGGAACUGAGACACGGUCCAGACUCC
rnacentral:rRNA from 1 species